rnacentral:rRNA from 1 species
GACGAACGCUGGCGGCGUGCUUAACACAUGCAAGUCGAACGCUGAAGCUCAGCUUUUGUUGGGUGGAUGAGUGGCGAACGGGUGAGUAACACGUGAGUAACCUGCCCCCUUCUUUGGGAUAACGCCCGGAAACGGGUGCUAAUACUGGAUAUUCACUGGUCUUCGCAUGGGGGUUGGUGGAAAGGGUUUUUCUGGUGGGGGAUGGGCUCGCGGCCUAUCAGCUUGUUGGUGGGGUGAUGGCCUACCAAGGCUUUGACGGGUAGCCGGCCUGAGAGGGUGACCGGUCACAUUGGGACUGAGAUACGGCCCAGACUCCUACGGGAGGCAGCAGUGGGGAAUAUUGCACAAUGGGCGCAAGCCUGAUGCAGCGACGCCGCGUGAGGGAUGGAGGCCUUCGGGUUGUGAACCUCUUUCGCUCAUGGUCAAGCCGCAACAAUGGUUGUGGUGAGGGUAGUGGGUAAAGAAGCGCCGGCUAACUACGUGCCAGCAGCCGCGGUAAUACGUAGGGCGCGAGCGUUGUCCGGAAUUAUUGGGCGUAAAGGGCUUGUAGGCGGUUGGUCGCGUCUGCCGUGAAAUCCUCUGGCUUAACUGGGGGCGUGCGGUGGGUACGGGCUGACUUGAGUGCGGUAGGGGAGACUGGAACUCCUGGUGUAGCGGUGGAAUGCGCAGAUAUCAGGAAGAACACCGGUGGCGAAGGCGGGUCUCUGGGCCGUUACUGACGCUGAGGAGCGAAAGCGUGGGGAGCGAACAGG